GGCUCAGGAUGAACGCUGGCGGCGUGCCUAACACAUGCAAGUCGAGCGAUUCUCUUCGGAGAAGAGCGGCGGACGGGUGAGUAACGCGUGGGUAACCUGCCCUGUACACACGGAUAACAUACCGAAAGGUAUGCUAAUACGAGAUAAUAUGCUUUUAUCGCAUGGUAGAAGUAUCAAAGCUUUUGCGGUACAGGAUGGACCCGCGUCUGAUUAGCUAGUUGGUAAGGUAACGGCUUACCAAGGCGACGAUCAGUAGCCGACCUGAGAGGGUGAUCGGCCACAUUGGAACUGAGACACGGUCCAAACUCCUACGGGAGGCAGCAGUGGGGAAUAUUGCACAAUGGGCGAAAGCCUGAUGCAGCAACGCCGCGUGAGCGAUGAAGGCCUUCGGGUCGUAAAGCUCUGUCCUCAAGGAAGAUAAUGACGGUACUUGAGAAGGAAGCCCCGGCUAACUACGUGCCAGCAGCCGCGGUAAUACGUAGGGGGCUAGCGUUAUCCGGAAUUACUGGGCGUAAAGGGUGCGUAGGUGGUUUCUUAAGUCAGAGGUGAAAGGCUACGGCUCAACCGUAGUAAGCCUUUGAAACUGGGAAACUUGAGUGCAGGAGAGGAGAGUGGAAUUCCUAGUGUAGCGGUGAAAUGCGUAGAUAUUAGGAGGAACACCAGUUGCGAAGGCGGCUCUCUGGACUGUAACUGACACUGAGGCACGAAAGCGUGGGGAGCAAACGGGAUUAGAUACCCUGGUAGUCCACGCCGUAAACGAUGAGUACUAGCUGUCGGAGGUUACCCCCUUCGGUGGCGCAGCUAACGCAUUAAGUACUCCGCCUGGGAAGUACGCUCGCAAGAGUGAAACUCAAAGGAAUUGACGGAAG
rnacentral:rRNA from 1 species